GACGAACGCUGGCGGCGUGCCUAACACAUGCAAGUCGUACGGGAUUUGGGGGCAACUCCAAGUUCAGUGGCAGACGGGUGCGUAACACGUGAAGAACUUGUCCGGUGGCGGGGGAUAGCCGGCCCAACGGCCGGGUAAUACCGCAUACGCUCGCGUGACGGCAUCGUUGCGCGAGGAAAGCAGCCGCAAGGUUGCGCCGACGGAGAGCUUCGCGGCCUAUCAGCUAGUUGGCGGGGUAAUGGCCCACCAAGGCGACGACGGGUAGCUGGUCUGAGAGGAUGAUCAGCCACAUUGGGACUGAGACACGGCCCAGACUCCUACGGGAGGCAGCAGUGGGGAAUAUUGCGCAAUGGCCGCAAGGCUGACGCAGCGACGCCGCGUGUGGGAUGACGGUCUUCGGAUUGUAAACCACUGUCAGGGGGAACGAAUACCGGGCGACGAAUAGCCGACCCGGGGUGACGGUACCUCCAAAGGAAGCACCGGCUAACUCCGUGC
rnacentral:rRNA from 1 species